CGGUGGAGCAUGUGGUUUAAUUCGAAGCAACGCGAAGAACCGUUACCAGGUCUUGACAUCCCGAUGCUAUUUCUAGAGAUAGAAAGUUACUUCGGUACAUCGGUGACAGGUGGUGCAUGGUUGUCGUCAGCUCGUGUCGUGAGAUGUUGGGUUAAGUCCCGCAACGAGCGCAACCCCUAUUGUUAGUUGCCAUCAUUCAGUUGGGCACUCUAGCGAGACUGCCGGUAAUAAACCGGAGGAAGGUGGGGAUGACGUCAAAUCAUCAUGCCCCUUAUGACCUGGGCUACACACGUGCUACAAUGGUUGGUACAACGAGUUGCGAGUCGGUGACGGCGAGCUAAUCUCUUAAAGCCAAUCUCAGUUCGGAUUGUAGGCUGCAACUCGCCUACAUGAAGUCGGAAUCGCUAGUAAUCGCGGAUCAGCACGCCGCGGUGAAUACGUUCCCGGGCCUU
rnacentral:rRNA from 1 species